GGCGCAACCGGCCGAUGAGCGGCAUGCCGGCGUCGUGACGGCUCUCCGCGUCGCCAGCAACUUCUACUGUGUUGGCAACCUUCUCCCUGGUAGGUACCUCUCUCUUUUGUUAGCUAGGGUUUCGAGUCAUUUCUUGGUCCCGGUGUUCAUGGUAGAUGGGCGGUGCCAUGGUUGAGGGAGGGGGUCGGGGGUCGCGGGGCACCGGUCACCGGAGAUGGCGGCGAGUGCCAUGCUGACUGCCGAGCGUGAGCAAUGAAGAGUUGAGUCUCUGGGCCGCUGGCCACCGAGCGAGCCGCAUGGUUGUUUCUUCUCAUAUUUUAAGUAGACCAUAUUUUGGAUGCCCCGUGAACACUGAAGACCGAUAGUUGCUCCUGAGUACUGACGAUUGUACUGAAUAUAAACAUGAUUACAGAUCCAAUAGCUACCAUCUAACCAGAGAUAAACUUGUUUAUAUCUAGUGGCUCUACUUCACUGUUCUGCUGCUACAUCAAUCUCCUGAUGUGAUUAAUUGAAGAGACGGCAUGUAUGGCUACCUGUCUUCGUUGGCAGAUAUUGUUUUUGUUUUGUGUUUAAAUGUUUUUUUAUUAUGUUUUCCACUCUUUUAUUAAUACAUAGAUCCAUAGUUAACCUGUCAACUUCUCUUUUAAAAAUGCUUGACUAUGAUUGUUAGAUACAUGAUUCACUAUCGCAGGUGAUGUCAUUUUUCCUUGUUCUGGCUAAUAGCUAAAAGGUUAUACAAAAGAGUAAAUUAUUUUAGACUUUGUGAUCUGUAGCCUAAUUUUAGACUUUGUUAGGUUGAAGACUGUAAUGUGAAAUCCACAAGUGAACACUUAUAUUAUACUUGCAGAGCACUAAUGCAGUGACAGUAGCUCGACUUGCUUUGCUGAUCGUUGACAUGUAACUAAACCAAAACAGCUUCCUGAGAAUCUGCAAACAAGCUAGCUGAAAACUUGUACCUGAAAACUUAAAAUUGGUAUCUCUAUAUCUAAUAGUGCAGACAAAUAGGUACAACAAUGUCAAAUAGUGUAGGCACCUGAAAACUGGUAUCUCUUAUCUAAAGCUUCGCUUUUGUCCAGUAGCUAGCUUUUUUCUAAUUGUAGUUCAUUUAAUAUGGUAGCACAUUAUUCUGCACUUUUAAUUUGAUAACAGUUAGCACCAUUUGAAUUAUUUUGGUUUGCUUUCUACAUAAAUUUCAAAUUUUUAUCUGUUGAUUUCUGCUUUAUUCCUUAUUUAAACUUUACAGACAGAGAAUAUUGGUCAUAUGGAGGCAGAGCCUUGCACACCAGUAUGAGCUAUAUAUAUGUUGCAUUUCUCCAUGUUUGGGCUCAUCAUGUAAUAGAACCUAAAGGCAGGUUGUUGCAAGACUUGUA
rnacentral:lncRNA from 1 species